CCUACGGGUGGCAGCAGUGAGGAAUAUUGGUCAAUGGCCGGAAGGCUGAACCAGCCAAGCCGCGUGAAGGACGAAGGUGCCAAGCAUUGUAAACUUCUUUUGUCAAGGGACAAAAUCAGGCUCGAGAGCCUGACCGAGGGUACUUGAAGCAAAAGCAUCGGCUAACUCCGUGCCAGCAGCCGCGUUAAUACGGGGGAUGCGAGCGUUAUCGGGAUUUAUUGGGUUUAAAGGGUGCGUAGGCGGGCUGUUAAGUCAGCGGUAAAAGCCCGGGGCUCAACCCCGGCGAGCAUUUGAAACUGGCUGGCUUGAGAUGUCGAGAGGUAGGCGGAAUGCGCAGUGUAGCGGUGAAAUGCUUAGAUAUUGCGCAGAACUCCGAUGGCGAAGGCAGCAUACCGGCGGCGAUCUGACGCUGAGGCACGAAAGCGUGGGUAUCGAACAGGAUUAGAUACCCGUGUAGUC
rnacentral:rRNA from 1 species